CCUACGGGUGGCAGCAGUGAGGAAUAUUGGUCAAUGGACGAAAGUCUGAACCAGCCAUGCCGCGUGCAGGAAGACGGCUCUAUGAGUUGUAAACUUCUUUUGUACAAGGGUAAACCUGAAUACGUGUAUUCAGCUGAAAGUACUGUACGAAUAAGGAUCGGCUAACUCCGUGCCAGCAGCCGCGGUAAUACGGAGGAUCCAAGCGUUAUCCGGAUUUAUUGGGUUUAAAGGGUGCGUAGGCGGAUUGAUAAGUUAGAGGUGAAAUGUCCGGGCUCAACUCGGGAACUGCCUCUAAUACUGUUGAUCUAGAGAGUAGAUGCGGUAGGCGGAAUGUAUGGUGUAGCGGUGAAAGGCUUAGAGAUCAUACAGAACACCGAUUGCGGAGGCAGCUGACCAAUCUAUAUCUGACGUUGAGGCACGAAAGCGUGGGGAGCGAACAGGAUUAGAUACCCUAGUAGUG
rnacentral:rRNA from 1 species